AUGUUGAAUGUUCACCUGCGAACAGUUACAAGAAUAUGGAAUCUAGCCAAAAGACAACUUGCACCAGGCCAAGAAGUUGAUGUUUCAAGCAAGAAGAAUAAUAGUGGUAGGAAGAGAAAAGAACUAGACCUGUCGAGAACAGCCACAAUCCCUUUGAACAAAAUAAGAACAAUUCUUUCUCUAGAAAGGUGUUUAGGUGUGCCCCGAUCAACCCUACAUGACAGAUUUCAGUUGCAAGAGUUGAAACGCAUCACAAGCACCAUCAAACCCAUCCUCAAGCCACAGAACAAGAUAGCGAGACUAAAGUUCUGCCUAUCCAUGAUGGAUGAAAGAUGGAUAUCAAGUCCUUGGCCUAGUUUCAAACCAAUGACAAAUAUGGUCCAUAUCGAUGAGAAAUGGUAUGAGAUGACCCGAGUGAAGAGUAGCUAUUACGUACUGCCUUGA
rnacentral:rRNA from 1 species